GAUGAACGCUGGCGGCGUGCCUAAUACAUGCAAGUCGAGCGAACAGACGAGAGUUCUUGCACUCUCUGACGUUAGCGGCGGACGGGUGAGUAACACGUGGGUAACCUACCUAUAAGACUGGGAUAACUUCGGGAAACCGGAGCUAAUACCGGAUAAUAUUUAGCUUCGCAUGAAGCAAUAGUGAAAGACGGUUCUGCUGUCACUUCUAGAUGGACCCGCGGUGUAUUAGCUAGUUGGUGAGGUAACGGCUCACCAAGGCAACGAUACAUAGCCGACCUGAGAGGGUGAUCGGCCACACUGGGACUGAGACGCGGACCAGACUCCUGCGGGAGGCAGCAGUAGGGAAUCUGCCGCAGUGGACGAAAGUCUGACGGAGCAAUGCCGCGUGAGUGAAGAAGGUUUUCGGAUCGUAAAACUCUGUUGUAAGGGAAGAACAAGUACGUUAGUAACUGAACGUACCUUGACGGUACCUUACCAGAAAGCCACGGCUAACUACGUG
rnacentral:rRNA from 1 species